GGCGGACGGGUGAGUAAUGUAUGGGGAUCUGCCCAAUGGUGGGGGAUAACUACUGGAAACGGUAGCUAAUACCGCAUAAUCUCUUAGGAGCAAAGCAGGGGAUCUUCGGACCUUGCGCCAUCGGAUGAACCCAUAUGGGAUUAGCUAGUAGGUGAGGUAAUGGCUCACCUAGGCGACGAUCUCUAGCUGGUCUGAGAGGAUGAUCAGCCACACUGGGACUGAGACACGGCCCAGACUCCUACGGGAGGCAGCAGUGGGGAAUAUUGCACAAUGGGCGCAAGCCUGAUGCAGCCAUGCCGCGUGUAUGAAGAAGGCCUUAGGGUUGUAAAGUACUUUCAGUCGGGAGGAAGGCGUUGAAAUUAAUACUUUCAGCGAUUGACGUUACCGACAGAAGAAGCACCGGCUAACUCCGUGCCAGCAGCCGCGGUAAUACGGGGGGUGCAAGCGUUAAUCGGAAUUACUGGGCGUAAAGCGCACGCAGGCGGUUGAUUAAGUUAGAUGUGAAAGCCCCGGGCUUAAC
rnacentral:rRNA from 1 species